rnacentral:siRNA from 1 species
GAUUGUCGGAACGAUGCAAGUGAA